CCAGGCUGCCCUGGCCCAGAGCUCUGGCUGCCAGCUGAGGCUGCUGCCCCAGCAGAGGUACCUGCGGACAGAGAGGGCCGAGGUGAGCGCCCUGGAAAGGAAGAGGAAUGUCCUGUGCUGCCUCAUCACCCGCAUCCUCAAGGUGGAGAAGCAGCUGCACAUCGACAACCUGGUGUUUAGGGUGAUCGAUGCCUGUCAGAAGGGCAAGUUGGGGCCAGAGGUACAAUUCCUGAGCUUCUGCUGCCACAGCGUGGAUGUGCUGUCCUGCAUCCUGCACCUGCUGAACCAGGGCUAUCUCCGGCGCCAAGAGGGGAGGCCUCAUGUCUUGGAAUACAUCUCUGCUGAAUCCACAACGCUCCCCCCUUCUCAGGUCCAGCCACAGGUUGCCUUCCAGACUGUAGAGAUCAAGACAGCAGCAAGCCUGGCUUCUGCUGAAAGGAGACAGACUUUUUCCACAUUCAGGUAGAUGAGACCUGGCCAAGAGAACUCGGGCUGAAUCCAGUCUGUCUCUUCCUAAACAGGUGUGAGUUUUGUUUAAGUAAAUGAGCCAGGCUGAUCCCAC